CACGUAGGCACCAAGCGUUGUCCGGAUUUAUUGGGCGUAAAGAGCUCGUAGGCGGUUCGGUAAGUCGGGUGUGAAAACUCUGGGCUCAACCCAGAGCCGCCACCCGAUACUGCUGUGACUCGAGUGCGGUAGGGGAGCGGGGAAUUUCUGGUGUAGCGGUGAAAUGCGCAGAUAUCAGGAGGAACACCAGUGGCGAAGGCGCCGCUCUGGGCCGUGACUGACGCUGAGACGCGAAAGCGUGGGGAGCGAACAGG
rnacentral:rRNA from 1 species